rnacentral:rRNA from 1 species
AGGCGGCUUGUCACGUCGGUUGUGAAAGCCCGGGGCUUAACCCCGGGUCUGCAGUCGAUACGGGCAGGCUAGAGUUCGGUAGGGGAGAUCGGAAUUCCUGGUGUAGCGGUGAAAUGCGCAGAUAUCAGGAGGAACACCGGUGGCGAAGGCGGAUCUCUGGGCCGAUACUGACGCUGAGGAGCGAAAGCGUGGGGAGCGAACAGGAUUAGAUACCCUGGUAGUCCACGCCGUAAACGGUGGGCACUAGGUGUGGGCAACAUUCCACGUUGUCCGUGCCGCAGCUAACGCAUUAAGUGCCCCGCCUGGGGAGUACGGCCGCAAGGCUAAAACUCAAAGGAAUUGACGGGGGCCCGCACAAGCGGCGGAGCAUGUGGCUUAAUUCGACGCAACGCGAAGAACCUUACCAAGGCUUGACAUACACCGGAAAACCCUGGAGACAGGGUCCCCCUUGUGG